rnacentral:tRNA from 1 species
GCGGCCGCGGCGACCGUGGCCGGGUCGGACUUCUAAUCCGACGGUCGCAGGUUCGAAUCCUGCAGGGCGCG